rnacentral:rRNA from 1 species
UUGACCUCGGAUCAGGUAGGGAUACCCGCUGAACUUAAGCAUAUCAAUAAGCGGAGGAAAAGAAACCAACAGGGAUUGCCUCAGUAACGGCGAGUGAAGCGGCAACAGCUCAAAUUUGAAACCUGCCAACCGGCCGGAUUGUAAUUUGUAGAGGAUGCUUUGGAGUAGGCACUGAUCUAAGUUUCUUGGAACAGUACGUCACAGAGGGUGAGAAUCCCGUUCGUGGUCGGCUGCCUGCUUCGUGUAAAGCUCCUUCGACGAGUCGAGUUGUUUGGGAAUGCAGCUCAAAAUGGGUGGUAAAUUUCAUCUAAAGCUAAAUAUUGGCCAGAGACCGAUAGCGCACAAGUAGAGUGAUCGAAAGAUGAAAAGCACUUUGGAAAGAGAGUUAAACAGCACGUGAAAUUGUUGAAAGGGAAGCGCUUGCAAUCAGACUUGCGCGUAGGUAAUCAAGGGCGGUUCGCUGCCCUGCACUUGCCUGCGCUCAGGCCAGCAUCAGUUUUGGGGGUGGGAUAAAGGCCGUGGGAAUGUGG